rnacentral:lncRNA from 1 species
GUACAAGUGAGUGCCCCCUUAAAUUUUGCACCCCAGGCACCUCACUUGCUUCCCUCUCAUUCCAGCCCUGUCACGCAGGCCUAGAUUUGUGACCCUGCUCAGCCACUUACAAGCUGUGUGACCUUCAGCAAGUCGCUUAAGCUCUCUGAGACUUGUUUUCCUCCUCUAAGCAUGGGCACAGGAAGCAUACUCACCCUGCUCACCUUGCAGGGCUGUAGUGAGGAUCAGACAGGAUGGAGAGGAAGGAGCUUUGGGAAUGAAAAGACCCUGGACAGAGGUGGUAUUGAGAGUGUGGGAGCAGCUUGCAGCCCUCAGGAGGAUGGAGCCCCUCCUCCAGGGAUGUUUAGCGUCAUAACCUGGUGUGCUUUGCUGCCGUGGCCCACCCUCUGGAUUUCCUGCCUCGAACUCACAUGUGGUGUGCGUGAUGUAGGUUUCUGUUUCCUUGUCUGUGAAAUAAGAGGUUGGACCAGAUGAGUUCUUAGUUCUAUGAUUCCACGAAUGUCUUAGAAAGCAAAAUGCACAGAGCCAAAUUUCCUUUGCCAUGCCGAACGCCGGGGCAGCGGAGCCAGCAGUGUCGAUGCUGUAAAGCCCCAAGGAGAGUUCUAGACGGAAGGGCGCUGCUGUGUCCUGGUAAUGAUGUCAGGUGACUCAGACAGGUCUGGGACUCGAGAAGCUGGCUGUCUUGUCUGAACCUCCUUUGAAGUGGUGGUUUGCAACACUUUUACGAACUGGAGGUUGAACGAGAACAUGAAAGUCAUCUCAUUGGUAUGUUGUAUUUUCCCAAACACUCCAUUUCAAAUCAAAACAUGGAAACAACUGUCUUAUUUUAGGAUUAUGCUUUGUAUUUGAACAUGCUGCUUACCAUCUAUUAGCUGACGGGGCUCUGGGACGCUCAGAGAACGAGUGACUGAGGUUUCCAGUCCUAAGGAGGUUGCUUUCAGCUCAGUCCAGGGAAGGAGAUUUUAACAAGCUGAGCUGGCCUUUUGAGAUGGGGAAAAUCUGAAGCACACGCUGGUUGAGAAAUUUGCCCAAGGCCCCACAGCCAGUUCCAGCACUGAUGGUUGCCACGGACAUUAUUUCCUUCAGUUUAUGACAGCCCUGAGAAGUCACUGGUCACGGAUAGCGUUGGUUCAUGAGAGCUGAUUGCUAAAUUUCCAGGAAUUUUGAGUCAGUUGUUAAACAUAGCCAUUAUUCAAUAGAUGGAGAUGGAAUCCUGGCUUUGCCACUUACCAGCUAGGUGACCUCGCCACGUGGCAAAAGCUACAAAGGAGUGAGGAGGGUUUGGAAACAGGCCCCUCUAGAGUCAAGUCUCGGCUUCGGUCUGACUAUCUGCGUCAGUUUUCUCGUCUGUAAAUGGGGAGCAGCUGCUGUUGAUAGCAGUAUCUGUUGUAUCUCUCACACGCUUUUGAAGGUUUGCUGAAUACUCACUAUGUGCCGAGCAUUGUUCUAAGCUCCUUGCUGAUAUUUUCUUAUUAAUG